ACAUCCACAGAACUUUCCAGAGAUGGAUUGGUGCCUUCGGGAACUGUGAGACAGGUGCUGCAUGGCUGUCGUCAGCUCGUGUUGUGAAAUGUUGGGUUAAGUCCCGCAACGAGCGCAACCCUUAUCCUUUGUUGCCAGCGGUCCGGCCGGGAACUCAAAGGAGACUGCCAGUGAUAAACUGGAGGAAGGUGGGGAUGACGUCAAGUCAUCAUGGCCCUUACGACCAGGGCUACACACGUGCUACAAUGGCGCAUACAAAGAGAAGCGACCUCGCGAGAGCAAGCGGACCUCAUAAAGUGCGUCGUAGUCCGGAUUGGAGUCUGCAACUCGACUCCAUGAAGUCGGAAUCGCUAGUAAUCGUGGAUCAGAAUGCCACGGUGAAUACGUUCCCGGGCCUUGUACACACCGCCCGUCACACCAUGGGAGUGGGUUGCAAAAGAAGUAGGUAGCUUAACCUUCGGGAGGGCGCUUACCACUUUGUGAUUCAUGACUGGGGUGAAGUCGUAACAAGGUAACCGUAGGGGAACCUGCGGUUGGAUCACCUCCUUA
rnacentral:rRNA from 1 species